AGAGAUAUAAAUUGAAUUCGUCCAUAUAUGAGGCUAUCAAAUUUUGAAUUAAUCCCUCUUUUUGAUAUAUUGAAGGGCGAUCCACAGCUUUCGUCACCUCGUGCUCUCACCCCUGAGGCCCGAGUAGCAUUAGAAAAGGUAGAAAGGUGUUUAGAAAAGGCCAAGCUGUAUAGAUGGAAAGAAGGAGAGGACAUCCUCCUAUGCGUUUUGAAGACAUUCCGUCAACCAACAGGAGUGUUGUGGCAGUCAGGUCCUCUAUUGUGGACUUAUCCUCAUGUGUCUCCCAAUAAAACCCUUGAAUAUUAUCCCAUUGCUGUAGCUCAAUUAGCGAUUUUGGGCAUUAAAUCAUGUAUUAAACAUUUUGGAGCACCCCCUCAGAAAAUCAUUACACCUUAUAAUGCUAAUCAAAUACAGAUCCUAAGUUCUUUGAUAGAUGAUUGGGCCCUAUUGUGCUGUAAUUUUGAUGGGGAAUUAGAUAAUCAUUAUCCCAAAGAUCCUUUGCUACAAUUUUUUAGUGAACAUCCAGUGAUUUUCCCCAAAGUCACAGCAUCUAAACCCAUAUUGGGUGCAUUGGAUAUUUAUACAGAUGGUUCUAAAACAGGUGUUGGUGCCUAUGUAGUUAAUUCUCAAAAACCCGUUCUUUUUCAAUACAAUCCUGGCACCCCACAACUUACUGAAUGUAAAAUUGUGUUGGAAGUAUUCAAAGCUUUUAAGGAAUCUUUUAAUCUAGUCUCUGAUUCAGCUUAUGUAGUAAAUGCAGUGCGUGCAUUAGAAAUUGCAGAACCCAUUAGACCCACCAGCCCUGUGUGCACCAUCUUAUUAGAGUUACAAAAAUUGACUUGGAAAAGAACACAUAAAUUCUUUAUUCAACAUAUUCAAGCUCACUCUACCUUGCCAGGCCCUAUGGCUGAAAGAAAUGCCUUAGUGGACACUAGCACUUGCAUGGAAUUUAUUUUUCACGCCACCCCACUGGAGCUUGCAAAAGAUUUUCAUCGAUUGUAUCAUGUUCCUGCUGCCACACUUCAGCAGAAAUUUGAUAUCUCUCAAGCCUCAGCACGAGAUGUGGUGUUACAAUGCCCACAGUGUGUACAAUUUCACCACCCUCCUCAUGUUGGUAUUAACCCUCGUGGAUUGCUUCCUUUAAAACCGUGGCAAAUGGAUGUUACUCAUGUCUCAGCAUUUGGAAGAUUAAAAUAUUUUCAUGUUUCAAUUGACACCUGUUCAGAUGUCAUUUUUGCCUCCCCCAUGUCCGGUGAGAAAUCCCGCAAUGUGGUUGGCCAUUGCCUAGAAGCCUGUGCAGCUUGGGGAAGGCCAGAUAGUUUAAAAACAGACAAUGGCCCCACAUAUACAUCAAAAUCAUUCCAAACCUUUUGCAAAAUAAUGCAGGUUAGUCACUCUACUGGCCUUCUCUACAAUCCACGGGGCCAAGGCAUUGUGGAAAGAGCACAUCGAACCUUAAAAUAACUCUUAUAAAAACAAAAAGGGGGAAUCGCUGAUGGCCGGCCACAAUUAUCUUUAGCCCUCUUUACUUUAAAUUUUUAAAUUUUUUAAAUUUUUAAAUUCUGGAUGAACAUGGUCGUUCGGCUGCAGAUAGGCAUGCCAUGACCUCACCUAUCCUUAAACAGGAUGUCAAAUAGAAAGAUGUCCUAACUGGAAAAUGAUAUGGCCCAGAUCCUGUUAUUUUGAGAUCCAGGGGAGCUGUUUGUGUUUUUCCACAGGGUCAAGAACACCCGAUUUGGGUACCAGAGAGGCUGACGCAAAAAUUGCUCCCCCCAACAGAGAUAUAGAUUGUAAUAGUUCCAGAAGGACAUGUUUUUUAGCAGAGUAUUGGCAGGGUAUACUGUGUGGUUGUGAAACUUCCCACCUUCCUGCCUAUAGUAGAUUUUGAAAUGUUUGCCACCUAUGCCCAUUCGUGCUACUCACUGCGUGGUCCAAUUUGAACCUCUUUUCUUCAAAUCUUUGCUUCUGUUUGAGAAUGAGUUCAUUCACCAAGAAAUUAGGAUAGAGAUGGUCAAUAUUGUCCACAACAUAAUUACACUUGGGACAUCUAUUAUUGUCCUCCAAACUCUGAUGAAUACACUUGUAGCAAAAGCUGAGGCCACAUUUUGUCAUGUAUGCCUCCUCAGUCAUAUCAAAGCAGAUGGGACUCUCUCUUAUUUAAUAGACUUAGUUCAAGAACAGGUUGAAGAAUUGUAUAAAGUUGUACAAGCUAAUUUCUCUCAGUCUCUUGAACAGAUUCACCUCUUAUCUGAGUAGGAAAUUGGUCGGCUAAAGCAGAGCAGUUGUCCAGAAAGCUGCUCCUCCAGAUUGCCAAACUCAACAGCACUCGACUGGACCCUGUCACCUUGGGGGACUUCACCUCCUGGAUCACCAAUGCCUUCUCAUUUUUUAAGGAAUGGGCGGGAAUGUUGGCCUGGGGGGCAGUAGUCCUCCUGGGUUGUGUCUUUUGUAUCUGACUAUUGUGUCGAUUCAACCGAGAGCACUCUCAGUAUAAGGCAGUGGUGUACCAAGCAUUGAUGGCAAUUAAAGAUGGCACAUCUCCCAAUGUUUGGCUGGCCUCUUUAAAAAAUUAAGAGUUCACCCUAGGUCAUCUGGCAGUUGUAGUCACACAGAUCCACGGUAUCCAGUAACAGGCAACUUUCCUUAUGCACAGACAUGGGGCCUGGAGGCGAUAGGGUAACCCUAGGACAGGUAAGGCUGUGACAUGAAAGGAUCGACCUAAGACAGGAGCCGUGGCUGAUGGACAGACUUGCCCAGACCUAGUCCAGCAUCAUAUUAUUAAACAAAAAAGGGGGAGAUGUAGGCAGCCGGCGCCUAAAAGAUGGUGCCGGUCUCCGGUACACCAUCGCUGUAAACAACACCUCUGCGCAGGCGCUAGCCCGAAUCUGGCGCCAACCCCUCCUGAGCAGGUGCAUGCAAAUUAAAGUGCCAGCAGACUGACCAAUCCUAGGAGGACACAUAGCCCUCCCCAGUGCUGGGGUGUAUAUAAGCAGUCCUCCCUGGGUUCCCGGGGUUCCCAUAGCAUCGAGGCGUUCCUGCAAUAAAGCUGUUGAGAAGAAUCCGAUCGUGUGAGGGGUGAGCGCAACAUACACUGAAAGAUUCAAACUCUUAGCUUUUUGUAUUGAAGGAGAGUCCAUAAGAAAUUUUCUACAUGAGGUAAAGCUAUUUAAGCCACACCUAGAGGCAAAAUUUUCCAGUGGUUACAAGCUCACUAGAAGCAAACCCAUUACAAUUUAUCCAGAUGC
rnacentral:lncRNA from 1 species